GGUUAAGCGACUAAGCGUACACGGUGGAUGCCCUGGCAGUCAGAGGCGAUGAAGGGCGUGCUAAUCUGCGAUAAGCGCCGGUAAGGUGAUAUGAACCGUUAUAACCGGCGAUACCCGAAUGGGGAAACCCAGUGUGACUCGUCACACUAUCAUUAACUGAAUCCAUAGGUUAAUGAGGCGAACCGGGGGAACUGAAACAUCUAAGUACCCCGAGGAAAAGAAAUCAACCGAGAUUCCCCCAGUAGCGGCGAGCGAACGGGGAGGAGCCCAGAGCCUGAAUCAGCAUGUGUGUUAGUGGAAGCGUCUGGAAAGGCGCGCGAUACAGGGUGACAGCCCCGUACACAAAAGCGCAUGUGCUGUGAGCUCGAUGAGUAGGGCGGGACACGUGGUAUCCUGUCUGAAUAUGGGGGGACCAUCCUCCAAGGCUAAAUACUCCUGACUGACCGAUAGUGAACCAGUACCGUGAGGGAAAGGCGAAAAGAACCCCGGCGAGGGGAGUGAAAAAGAACCUGAAACCGUGUACGUACAAGCAGUGGGAGCACCCUUUGGGGUGUGACUGCGUACCUUUUGUAUAAUGGGUCAGCGACUUAUAUUCUGUAGCAAGGUUAACCGUAUAGGGGAGCCGCAGGGAAACCGAGUCUUAACCGGGCGUUAAGUUGCAGGGUAUAGACCCGAAACCCGGUGAUCUAGCCAUGGGCAGGUUGAAGGUUGGGUAACACUAACUGGAGGACCGAACCGACUAAUGUUGAAAAAUUAGCGGAUGACCUGUGGCUGGGGGUGAAAGGCCAAUCAAACCGGGAGAUAGCUGGUUCUCCCCGAAAGCUAUUUAGGUAGCGCCUCGUGAAUUCAUCUCCGGGGGUAGAGCACUGUUUCGGCUAGGGGGCCAUCCCGGCUUACCAACCCGAUGCAAACUGCGAAUACCGGAGAAUGUUAUCACGGGAGACACACGGCGGGUGCUAACGUCCGUCGUGAAGAGGGAAACAACCCAGACCGCCAGCUAAGGUCCCAAAGUCAUGGUUAAGUGGGAAACGAUGUGGGAAGGCCCAGACAGCCAGGAUGUUGGCUUAGAAGCAGCCAUCAUUUAAAGAAAGCGUAAUAGCUCACUGGUCGAGUCGGCCUGCGCGGAAGAUGUAACGGGGCUAAACCAUGCACCGAAGCUGCGGCAGCGACGCUGAUGCGUUGUUGGGUAGGGGAGCGUUCUGUAAGCCUGCGAAGGUGGCCUGUGAGGGUUGCUGGAGGUAUCAGAAGUGCGAAUGCUGACAUAAGUAACGAUAAAGCGGGUGAAAAGCCCGCUCGCCGGAAGACCAAGGGUUCCUGUCCAACGUUAAUCGGGGCAGGGUGAGUCGACCCCUAAGGCGAGGCCGAAAGGCGUAGUCGAUGGGAAACGGGUUAAUAUUCCCGUACUUGGUGUUACUGCGAAGGGGGGACGGAGAAGGCUAUGUUGGCCGGGCGACGGUUGUCCCGGUUUAAGCGUGUAGGUGUGUGUUCCAGGUAAAUCCGGUUCACUUUAACACUGAGGCGUGAUGACGAGGCACUACGGUGCUGAAGCAACAAAUGCCCUGCUUCCAGGAAAAGCCUCUAAGCAUCAGGUAACAUCAAAUCGUACCCCAAACCGACACAGGUGGUCAGGUAGAGAAUACCAAGGCGCUUGAGAGAACUCGGGUGAAGGAACUAGGCAAAAUGGUGCCGUAACUUCGGGAGAAGGCACGCUGACACGUAGGUGAAGUGAUUUACUCAUGGAGCUGAAGUCAGUCGAAGAUACCAGCUGGCUGCAACUGUUUAUUAAAAACACAGCACUGUGCAAACACGAAAGUGGACGUAUACGGUGUGACGCCUGCCCGGUGCCGGAAGGUUAAUUGAUGGGGUCAGCGCAAGCGAAGCUCCUGAUCGAAGCCCCGGUAAACGGCGGCCGUAACUAUAACGGUCCUAAGGUAGCGAAAUUCCUUGUCGGGUAAGUUCCGACCUGCACGAAUGGCGUAAUGAUGGCCAGGCUGUCUCCACCCGAGACUCAGUGAAAUUGAACUCGCUGUGAAGAUGCAGUGUACCCGCGGCAAGACGGAAAGACCCCGUGAACCUUUACUAUAGCUUGACACUGAACAUUGAGCCUUGAUGUGUAGGAUAGGUGGGAGGCUUUGAAGUGUGGACGCCAGUCUGCAUGGAGCCGACCUUGAAAUACCACCCUUUAAUGUUUGAUGUUCUAACGUGGACCCGUGAUCCGGGUUGCGGACAGUGUCUGGUGGGUAGUUUGACUGGGGCGGUCUCCUCCUAAAGAGUAACGGAGGAGCACGAAGGUUGGCUAAUCCUGGUCGGACAUCAGGAGGUUAGUGCAAUGGCAUAAGCCAGCUUGACUGCGAGCGUGACGGCGCGAGCAGGUGCGAAAGCAGGUCAUAGUGAUCCGGUGGUUCUGAAUGGAAGGGCCAUCGCUCAACGGAUAAAAGGUACUCCGGGGAUAACAGGCUGAUACCGCCCAAGAGUUCAUAUCGACGGCGGUGUUUGGCACCUCGAUGUCGGCUCAUCACAUCCUGGGGCUGAAGUAGGUCCCAAGGGUAUGGCUGUUCGCCAUUUAAAGUGGUACGCGAGCUGGGUUUAGAACGUCGUGAGACAGUUCGGUCCCUAUCUGCCGUGGGCGCUGGAGAACUGAGGGGGGCUGCUCCUAGUACGAGAGGACCGGAGUGGACGCAUCACUGGUGUUCGGGUUGUCAUGCCAAUGGCACUGCCCGGUAGCUAAAUGCGGAAGAGAUAAGUGCUGAAAGCAUCUAAGCACGAAACUUGCCCCGAGAUGAGUUCUCCCUGAGACUUAAAGUCUCCUGAAGGAACGUUGAAGACGACGACGUUGAUAGGCCGGGUGUGUAAGCGCAGCGAUGCGUUGAGCUAACCGGUACUAAUGAACCGUGAGGCUUAACCUU
rnacentral:rRNA from 1 species